ACGCAAAUUCUCUUAAGCGCGGAGAACCCUAAACGAGCCUCUUACGUCUACGCAUGCGCACUACCUCUAUAAAAUCCAAACCUCUUCCCCCGCAGCAAGACAGUGAGAAAGCGCGCGUGCGCACUCGCGGCGCAGGAACCGCUACCCAACAACUGUCACCUCCCAAUUACCGUAGAAGAGGCGGUGCGAGCCGCCCAUCAGCGCAGAUGUUUCACUCGCCCGGCCCCACGUGGCUACUCGGCUUCAAGUCUCAAGAGUAAAACUGUAUUUUAGACAGUCACACCGAACCUGUAUUGUUAAGGUUAGGUGUAAAGACUGCAUCCCACUAUUAUCAAUCUUGAGCAGUCUAUUAGGCAUAAAAAUCCAAACCAUCCUUCCGGUCGAAGAAUUCAAUGUCGGACUCGUGCAGAAAUUCCAUCAGGCUAAGAAUGACAGAGUUACAGCCAUCCAUUUCUUCAUCAUUCCUCCAUUGAGAUGGAGGGCCACAAGAGUGUUUGCACUGCCAUCAGCCUGAAUCAAGGGGAAAGAGAGGUUCAUUAGCAGAAUAAGUUGAAGCUACUGUAUUUGUUAAAUUUCUGCCUGAAUAUUUACUAUAAUAGGUGGCAUUUUGAGGAAGCACUUCAUCUCAAAGCAGUGGAAACAGCAGAAUAGGAUGUUCCCUGUGUUCUCCCCCUCCACACACAGAGCAAUAAGAGGUUUGCUGGGAUGAAGAACGAGAGUGCAUUCUCAAGCGACUGCUAAAGCAAUACCUGUUGAAUUUCUGCCAGGACACAUCCAUCCCCAGCCUAAUAUCAAGUUGAAAGACCAAGGCAAAGUACAAGUGCACGGAGCUUAAUUUGUAAAGCCAGCAUAAUGUUAGAGAUGACAAAGUCUUUACUACUACAUGAUGCUUUUUAAAUACACAAGUGAGAAUUGAAA